rnacentral:rRNA from 1 species
CCUACGGGAGGCUGCAGUGAGGAAUAUUGGUCAAUGGACGAGAGUCUGAACCAGCCAAGUAGCGUGAAGGAUGACUGCCCUAUGGGUUGUAAACUUCUUUUAUAUGGGAAUAAAACGUUCCACGUGUGGGAUUUUGUAUGUACCAUAUGAAUAAGGAUCGGCUAACUCCGUGCCAGCAGCCGCGGUAAUACGGAGGAUCCGAGCGUUAUCCGGAUUUAUUGGGUUUAAAGGGAGCGUAGGUGGAUUGUUAAGUCAGUUGUGAAAGUUUGCGGCUCAACCGUAAAAUUGCAGUUGAAACUGGCAGUCUUGAGGACAGUAGAGGUGGGCGGAAUUCGUGGUGUAGCGGUGAAAUGCUUAGAUAUCACGAAGAACUCCGAUUGCGAAGGCAGUUCACUGGACUGCAACUGACACUGAGGCUCGAAAGUGUGGGUAUCAAACAGGAUUAGAUACCCCAGUAGUC